UAAAAAAUUCAAGUCAUUUUAAAGUAUGUUCAUUUCAAAAGGUUGCUUGCAUUUUAGUCAAUGGCCAAUCCGUCAGCUUAAUUAAGCACAUUCAUGUUUUCAUACGCUUGCUUGGCACCUCUGGUUCUUUUAAGAAUACAAAAUUAUUUUUUUAGUGAUGGUCCCAGUUUAUUCAAAACUAUCUCCUUCUAAAUGGGCUGAGAAUCUGAGAACUUCCUGAAUGGUACCCCCAGAAUAUACUAAAUACAUGCUUGUUAAUUGUUUUUUUUAAACCGACGGGAAGAAAAGGGCAGAAACAGAAUACAACAUAAAUUGUUAUUAUAUUAUAAAAUAUG